GCCAGUGAUGACAGUUUAUAAAAUGGUUGACUGAAAAGCAAGUUUUUAAGCCUGCAAAGUUGUUGAAAAUCAUGAACUAGGACGGUCUGAGGCUAUUCUCAUUUGGGUUUUUGCAAAGCUUGAAUCUUUUUUUUUUUUUUUGGUGACGUGGGUUGUGUAUGAUGAUAUCAUAUGUUCAAUACAGUUAUCCCUGUCUGAUAAAUCUUGAUGUAUUACAUUUGAUCUGACUUAUAC
rnacentral:lncRNA from 1 species